rnacentral:rRNA from 1 species
UACAGAGGUCUCAAGUGAUGUUCGGAUUCAUUGGGCGUAAAGGGAGCGUAGGUGGUUGGGUCAGUCAAAUGUGAAAUCCCGGAGCUCAACUCCGGAACUGCAUUCGAUACUGCCCGGCUCGAGGAUUGGAGAGGAGACUGGAAUUCACGGUGUAGCAGUGAAAUGCGUAGAGAUCGUGAGGAACACCCGUUGCGAAGGCGGGUCUCUGGCCAAUUCCUGACAAUGAGGACCGAAGGGCAGGGGAGCAAACGGG